UGACCUGAAUCAGGUAGGCAGUGUAUUGUUAGCUGGCUGCUUGAGUCAAGUCAGCAGCCACAACUACCCUGCCACUUGCUUCUGGAUAA
rnacentral:pre_miRNA from 2 species